rnacentral:rRNA from 1 species
GAUGAACGCUGGCGGCGUGCCUAAUACAUGCAAGUCGAACGCACGGGGGACGGGUGAGUAACACGUGGCUAACCUCCCAUCAGAGGGGAUAACACUUGGAAACAGGUGCUAAUCCGAUACUGAUGGAUGGACCCGCGGUGCAUUGGCUUGUUGGUGAGGUAACGGCUCACCCAGGCCACGAUGCAUAGGCGACCUGAUAGGGUGGGCGGCCACACGGGAACUGAGACACGGCCCAGACUCAUACGGGAGGCAGCAGUGGGGAAUGUUCGGCAAUGGACGAAAGUCGGACCGAGCAACGCCGCGUGAGUGAAGAAGGGUUGCGGAUCGUAAAACUCUGUUGUUAGAGAAGCGGUAUCUAACCAGAAAGCCACGGCUAACUACGUGCCAGCAGCCGCGGUAAUAC